rnacentral:lncRNA from 1 species
CUGAUCUGUCCACCUGGAACCAGCUGGGGCUAUAGCCACACCGGGCUGUGCUCCAGCUUCUGAGGCCUCUGCUGGGGAGUCCCCGAGAGCCCUCUGAGCUCUGCCUUUCGCACGGUCUCUCUAGCAGGUGGAGAGGGGAUGCUGGUGGCUGAGAACCACUGCGGGGCGGGGUGGACAGUGUGAGCCUGGGCUCUCAACACCAGCCAUGCAUUUCGGCAUCCCUAAUUCUUUGUUUUGCCUUUAAUCUUUAUUAAAUUACUGUCGAAACUAACUCACUCUUCAUAAUUUUCACAAAGUAGUCUAGGUGAAAUAAAACAGACUUUGGAGCCAGAAGAAUCGAAAUAAAAUUCUCAUUUCCCAAUUACUUGCUGUGCUACCUGGUACAAAUGACUUGGCCUGUCUGAGCCUGUCUGCAUUUUUAAAAGGAAGUAACGACACCUGCCUCAUGAUACAGCUGAAAGGACUAAGUUAGAUGAAAUGUCUCUGGUCCUGAGCAGGGCACCAGUGGUGCCCACGGUGCCGGUUACUGGGGUGAGUGUCACUUGUGUUGAACUGAGCAGGGGGCCAAGCGCCAGUCCUGGGCUGUAUCUGUAUCUCCACGGAAGAUCAAAACGUGGGGGCCGAGGAGUCCUCUAUGGAUUGUUUCUUCUGAACAGAAACAGUGUGUGAAGUCAAGCGGGGGAGCCCUCCCUUUCCAGAAGCGAGUCAUUGAAGAAAUGCCCCUGUGCGGACUCCCCACACGUUAGCACUGGCGGCCAGGCCGGCCUCCCAUGGAGAGCCCCUCUUCAGAGCCACCUUGCCCCCAUUUCCCCCUCAACUGCUCAGCUCACUGGGGAGGAAGGCAGCGAAGUUGUAAAAACUUACUUUUUGGAAAAAUAAGAAUUAUGGGGAAGGACAUUAAUUUAAAAGCUUUUAAGGAGCCAAUUCACCUGUGAAAGUGCUCCCCAGGUGAGGGCCUUCCUGUGUGGAGAACAGCCCGGUCUUUAAAAGCAUUUUAAUUAAUGUUGCUGAGAAACACGCUGAUGGUAUUUAAGUCUGAAGAGCAAAGGUACCAGCCAAGAGUUUUAUGACGUGGUGCUAGUUCUCUUAAAGGCUGUUGAAAUAAUGUUCCCGUGCACUCAGCCUCCCCACUUAGUGCGGGUGGCGGCCAAGAGGAAGUGCUGGAAUCCUCGGUGGCCUAACCCCGGCCCUCAGGACAGAACAGAAGGCAGGCGGCCCCGGCCAGGACAUGCCCAGUGGAAUUUCAGAGGCACUUUCGGGAACACAGCGCCUUCGCACCUUCUGCUCGGUACACACCUCGAGGGGUGGCAGCCAGCUCUUGGCGGCCCACCCAGCACCCUGAAGCCUGAACUGCCUGGACUGUCGCUGAGCAAAUGCCAGGGCCCGAAGAGGACCUGGAAGAGGGCGGGUGAGGGGCUGCAGGCGUGUGGGGCCUGGAUGAUCCCAUCUUGACGACGAGCUGGGAACCGCAGACCGGUGUCAUCCUGGCUGGAGAUGGAGGUCUCUACAUGGCUCCCUGUGUGGCCAGACCACUGUGGCUGGACCAGAGUUUCCCGAUAGCCUCUGGGAAUGGCAGGGACAGUGGGGGAGGAGGUCCCAGGGGAUUUUAUUAACAGAAGGGGGGAGAGAGGGUAGAGAAAGGUAAUGGGAACAAGUAGCUGAAAAUAUGCCCUGGAGAGCAGGGGAGGAGGCUGAGCAGGCAACUUCAAAAGGGAUGGAAGAAAAUGGGGGCUGCGGAGAGUUGAAGAGUGACCCCAAAAGAUAUGUCCAUCCAGAACCUCAGAAUGUGACCUUGUUUGGAAUAAGGGCUUUUGAGGAUAUAAUUCAGCAGCCCGGGGGCACAGGCACGCAGAAGAGACUUUCCCACAGCGGUUCCCAGAGCCCUGGAUGAGGCGUCCUCCAAAGGAUUAUGUCACCAAGUUUCUGCAGUUCUUUGCAGAUUCAGAAUCUAGAUGACUACUAACGAGCGUGAAGCGCCUGGUGGUUUUGGAAGUAAGCCUUCCCAGACUUCAGAACCCACGUGAGUCCCCCGACUACAAAGAGCAUAUUUUAGCUGCUGAGUGAGGGAGCAGCCAGUGGAAUCCCAUGGCCGUGUGUUAGUCUGGGCUUCCCUGAAAACAGGGAAGGGAGACUUGGAUGCAAGUGGUUUAGUUGGGAGGAGACGCCAGGUGAGGCUUGUGACCUGGGAGAGAGAGCAGGGAGGAGAGCUGAGUGGGAGGUCAGUGAGCAGAGUCCUGGUGUGGUCAUUGGGACUCAGCCCCAGGAUCCUCUGAGGAACUGUUGUUCCCCCAAGGGACUCUAAAGCAGGCUGCAUGCUUCAUUGGCUCUGGCGUUAAGUCCCUGGUACUUCUGGGCUGCCCUACGGAGGGCUAAGCAGUUCCUUUGGCCAGAGAAAGCCCCCAGGCAGGGAGCAGAGAAUGCAAUACGUAGCAUUCCAACUGGUUCCUGGAUGCAAACUCGAUCCCCCAUUGCAUCAAGCUGGUGUGCCACAGAGCACCUGCCACGUGUCGGGCAGGGUCCCAGGGACCAGGAAUGUCAGGGAGCAGGAGACCGAGCAAGCAUGUUUCUUGGCGCUUCCAUCCAGAAUAUAGUAAAUAUGAAAAUCUCAUAGUAUACAACAUGGUAAUGAGAGCUACAGAAAAAAGGAAGAGCGAGGGUGGGUGAGGCAGGGGUACUGUGGGGGAGGGGGGACCAAGGGGACACUGAGAAGUGGACAUUUGAGCCAAGACUUGAAGGUUCCAUUUGAGGGCCAUUUGGGCAGUGGCUGUUGGCCACGAGAACCAUCACCAAUGUGGCAUCUCCUGGGCUGUGCAGGGUCACCUGGUGCCAUCGCAGGACCUGCUGGUCACAUCAGAGCUUCCUGCUGCAAGUGGGGCCGGGAGCCUGGGCCUCUGAUGCCCACAUGGACCCAUCCAGGACUUGGCCCACCCACUGAGCAAACCCAGGCAUCUCUUCCUGGUUUCAACGAGUCAUGCACCCACCUCGAAGACUCCUCCCUCUUUUGUCCUCUCGCGGAGCCCAGUCACAAGAGAGUUCAAAGAAAUCGGCAGGUCAGUCAGUGGGUGGGCAGGUAGAGACUCUCAAGAUUAAUCAGAGAAAUCGCCCACUGAAUGGGUGCUCUUAGGUCUGUGCCAAGGGCUUCUGUAACAAACUGCCCUGACCUGGGGUCUUAAACAACAGAAAUGCAUUUCCUCACAGUCCUGGAGACCAGCCAGUCCAAAGCCAAGGUGUCCACAGGGCCACGCUCUUCCCACAGCCUCUAGGAGAGAACUGGUUCCUUGCUUCUCAUCCAGUUUCUGGAGAUGCUGCCACCCUUGUGGUCCUAGGCUUGGCGACAUGUCCACCCUCGUGGUCCUAGGCUUGGUGACGUGUCCACCCUCAUGGUCCUAGGCUUAGGUAUGUGUUGCUCCACCCUGCGCCUCUGUCUUCACGUCACCUUCCCUUCUCUGCAUCUGUCUCCUUCUCUUUAUGAAGCCUCCUGUCAUUGGAUUUAGAGCCCACCCUAAUCCAGGAAGAUCUCAUCUCAAGAUUCUUAAUUGCAUCUGCAAAGACCCUUUUUCCGAACAAGAUCCCGUUCACAGGCUCUGGGCGGGCAUAUCUUUUAGAGGCCACCAUUCAACCCACUACAGCCUGCAUGGGAGACUGAGAAAUGACAGGCUUUUGGGGACAAUUUACACUUUUAAGCCACAUAUUAUAGUACCAGCUUUCCUGCCGCAGGUGGGGCUGGGAGUCUGGGUCUCUCAUGCCCACAUGGGGCCCAGCCAGAACUUGGCCUACUGAACAAACUACAAAAAUCUCUCUUCUUGUUUCAAUGGAUAAUGCACCUCCCUUGAAGAUCCAUCCUUUAUUUGUCCUUCAGUGGCACCCCAUGGCAAUUGUUCUGAAGUAUUUACUGACAAAAUAUCCCUGCCUGUUGGUUCAUCUUCCAGCUUGUCUCCAUAAGUGACAAUGAUUUGGGUGAGCCAGGGUGGAUUUCUGCAGGCUCCUGGACUCAAGCCUUCCUGAACUCAUCCCCUCACUCUCUCUCCCAAUCUCAGCCUGUGCAUUUAGGUCCUGCCCUGGAAUAUGGUAAGAUGGAAGACUUUCAUAAUUUCCGAUGCACUGCACUGAAUCUGGGAUUUGUAGCCUAUACUAGCAUCCUUUCUUUAAUUUAAACGAUUAGCGUUUCAAAUGUAACCAGGAACUGGGCACCACGAGAUAACCCCUGACUAUGACUACUCAGCCCCUUGGAGUUUCCCUUAAGGGGGGAAUGGGGUGUAGCAGCAGAGCCCUGGGAUUGGAGGCCUCUCCUGGUCAAGUGUAGUGAGGGUCAGAGGUCAUGUGCCAGGUGUGCACUAUGGAGGGACAGAGGCAUCAAGAGGCAUUCAUGUCCCCAUCCUUUGGUCGUGGGGGCGGGGGGUGGGUGGUGUCCUGCCCCAGGGUCCUUUUGUGUAGGGACAAGGCAUGUAGCUGUCACACAACGGUAACAGAAGAGUGGAUGACUGGCCAGGCUACCCCCAGGCAGCCACUGUCUGAAGUUUUCUAUCCUAGAGCUUUGAAAACCCAAAUUCCUCAUGCCAAGCUCAGCUUCAGUGAUUUAGGAGGCAGAAGGCAGACUGUACCCCAGUCUGCAUAUGUGCUGUUUAGGGCUCAUUUAGGACCCCCAGGAAGUGCUUCUUCAGUGAGAGGAUUCUAAAUAGCUCUUACGUUGGUAAAACUUUUACAGUAAAUACUGUCAUUAGCAUCCUAAGAAUAGUCUACUGUCUGGAGUAAAAGUCCCCAAACCAACAGCCCACAUGCCAGUACUGACUUUUGGCCAGGGGCCAUGUAGGUUUUAGUUCUGCAGACCCUUCUCAGGGCCACCACAGGGAGGGCAGGCUGGCUUCCCACACCUGGCAGCUUCACCUGGAGGAUAGGGUGCCAAGUCCCCACCCAUAGGCCUAUGCUGUCCAGCAGGGACGCCUCUUCCUAACCCGUUCACAGGCCGUUUUGCCUGGCAGUGGGCGCUGCCAAGCUCUACCUCUAUACUCCCCCCUUACUGGAAGCACAGGGCAAUCGGGGAAGCCCUCUAAGAUCCAGCAGGUGACCCUGGGCCCUGUUUUGGGGUCUGGGCUGGGCUGGACUACAGGGUCACCAAGGAAACCAGGAGCAGCCCUUGCCUCAGCUCAGCUUUGUCCUGAAGAAGGGCCUGCCCUAGCACCUGGGGGAGGUGGCAGCUGCAUCAUCCCAGAGGGGAGGGCAGGAGUGGGUGACCCUGAGCUCCCUGGGGGGCUGGGAGAGGACUGGAAUAAGCAGUUCUGGAUGGAGACCCGCCAGGCCCGCUCACUGUGUCAGCUGAAUUUGCAGGUAGAUGGACACCUCUGUGUGGCCAGAGGCCCUGACCGCUGAGCCUGGCCCAGGUCCUCACAGAUGCUCCGUUUGAGCACGGGGGUAUAGAGCGGGGAGGCUUGUUUUGCAGACUGGACCAGGCAAGGAGGCAAAGGUUGGCUUCUGCAGGUCUCAGUGGCUGGCUCAGACCCCGAGGAAUCUGCUGGUUUGUCACUGGGCCCUGCACUACACUACCCAACCCCCGGGGUGUCAGAGGCAGGCUGGGGGUCUGUGUGCUGAUCCACUUCUAGUGGUCUACACCAGUGUUCCAACUGCUUCUUCUUCUCCUGCUUGUGAGAUGGGCAGUUGAUAUCGUGAGGUCAAGAAGCAGGACCGCUAGCCCCAGUGGCGGCAUUGGUGAUGGCAGGGGCAGGGAUUUUUAACUUCUGUGCACCUGGGUUUUCUCAUCUGUAAAAAAUAGAGAUGACAAUUUCUGCUUUACCCACUGUAUCUAUGUCAAACAUGCAAUAAAACUGUGUGUUAAUGUGUUAUAGAAAUGAGGAGGUGCUAUGAAAGCGCACUCUAGUUAGAGACCAAGCCUGGAUGGAACUCAGGCUUUUCAACGGUGAAAUGGGAAAAGUCUUUUUGUUAUUUAAUUCUUUGAUGAUGGAAUAGGAUAAUUUGUGUGAUGGCAGCUAAUAUAUUGAAGGUGCUUCUGCAAUAUCAAUAUAAUAAUAAUUUUAAAAAGUGUUGCAUCUCCAAGAUAAUGUUUUGGCUUGUAAAAUUUUGACUAUUAUAUACGUAUAAGAAAAAACACAAAAUAGAGAUUUAAGCAAAAAUGAAAUAUUGUAUUAUUCACAGAUAAUCUAUAAUGUUUUGUUGUAGAUCUUUUCAGAUUUUUUCAUAUAUGUGACUAUAAUUAUUUUUUACAAAAAUUGGAUCAACACAUAUUUUCAUAUCAUUUUUAUUUUUUUGCUUUUAUUUUUAUUUUCUUUGAGACGGAGUUUUGCUCUUGUUGCCCAGGCUGGAGUGCAAUGGUGCGCCAGGCUGGAGUGCAAUGGUGCGAUCUUGGCUCACCGCAACCUCCCUCUCCCGGGUACCAGCGAUUCUCCUGCCUCAGCCUCCCGAGUAGCUGGGAUUAUGGGCAUGCGCCACUAUCCUGGCUAAUUUUUGUAUUUUUAGUAGAGACGGGGUUUCUUCAUGUUGGUCAGGCUGGUCUUGAACUCCUGACCUCAGGCGAUCCACCCGCCUCAGCCUCCCAAAGUGCUGGGAUUACAGGCGUGAGCCACUGCGCCUGGCCUCAUAUCAUUUUUAAUGCUUGCCCAGAAUUCUAAUUCUUUCUUAUUGCAUAUUUAGGUUGUUAAAAAUUUUUUUUAAAUAAUAAUAUGGAUAAGAACCUGCUUGUAGCUAGGACUCUGUAAUUGAAAAUCAAUCAGGUAAAAUAAUAAACUAGAAGUAGAGCAGCCCAGACACGAUGGCGAAACCCCAUUUCUCCAAAAAAUACAAAAAGGUUAGCUGAGCGUGGUGGUGUGUGCCCGUGGUCUUAGCUGCUCGGGAGGCUGAGGUGGGAGGAUUGCUGGAGUUCAGGAGGUUAAGGUUGAAGUGAGCUGAUAUGGUGCCACUACACUCCCGCCUGGGCAACAAAGCCAGACCUUGUCUCAAAAAAAAAAAAAAGAAGUAGAAACGUUAGGUCAAAUGAUGUGCAUUUUUUCCGGUUGUGAUAAAAUACACAUAACAAAAAUUUACCAUCUUAACCAUUUUCAAGUGCACAGGUCAGUGGCAUUAACUAUGAAUACAGUCACAUUGUUGCACUACCCUUAUCGCACUCCACCAUUCCUCCACAGAGGAGAGCUGGCUUGCUUCUAGAAUGCUCAUCAAAUGCCUGGCACUUUGCCAGGGUUUCACAUCUCUUUGCAUUUUGGACAGCAGAGAUUCUGUCCCCAUUAAACACUAACUUCCCAUUCCCUCUCCCCCACAGCCUCUGGCAACCACCAUCCUAAUUUUUGUCUCUAUAGAUUUGACUCUUCUAGAUAUCUCAUAUAAGUGGAAUCAUAUAGUAUUUAUUUUUCUGUGACUUACUUCACUUGGCAUAAUUUCUUCAAGUUUAAUCAUGUUGUAGCAUGGGUCAGAAUUCUUCUCCUUUUUAAGGCUGCAUACUAUUCCACUUGGGUGGCGUCUACCUUUUGGCUGUUGUGAAUAGUGCUACUAUGACCAUGGAUGUACAAAUAUCUCCUCGAGACCCUGCUUUCUAUUGUUUUCGUACAUAUCCAGAAGUGAAAUUGCUGCAUCAUCUGGUAACUGUACGUUUAAUUUUUUGAGGGACUGCCAUACUGUUUUCCACAGCAGCAGGACCAUUUCGCAUUCCCACCAACAGUGCACGAGGGCUCCAGUUUCUCCCCAUCAUUGCCACCACUUGUUAUUUUCUGUUGGGUUUUUUUUUUUUUUUUUGAUAGUAGUCAUCUUAAUGACUGUGAAGUGGGAUGUACAUAUUUUUAAGGCUUUGAAAUCAAUUGCUGAACUGUACAGUAGAAAGGUAAUACUUGGCACUUUUACCAACAAUGGAUAGAGCACUAUUUCCACCGUCCCUAUGAACGCAGAGUACCCCUGCCAGUUUUUUGAUGAGUAUUUGAAAGAGGAAGCGUGCACGUGGUGUGGUAAACCCAGAGGACUGUGCCUACCUGCCCAAGAGGAAGACCUGGGUUUUCUCUGGCUGAGACCACCAGCUGACUGGCCCUCUCAAGUUUUAAAAUCCUGCGUUUAGAUCAACUCUGAAGCUCAGCUUCACGCAUUACCUGAUGUGGCCGAUAUAAAAAGAGAAGAAUAUCAGAUAUAAAGAAACCGUAUAUUUACAUACAAUUAGAAGCAAAUAUUUAAUGCAAGCAAAUGUUUUAUAGGAGGUGAGAGAAACUCCUGUAAGGACCAGAAAAAUAAGCUGAGCACUCCCAGGAAACAAACCUGUGUCUCAAAAUUUGGUGUUAGCCUUUGAUGGGAAAGAAAAUGAAUCAGUUUCUGCUUUUCCUUUGUUUCAUUUCUAUUUUUUUUUUUUUUUUUUUUGAGAUGGAGUCUCACUCUGUCACCCAGGCUGGAGUGCAGUGGUGUGAUCUUGGCUCACUGCAAUUUCUGCUUCCCAGGUUCAAGUGAUUCUCCAACCUCAGCCUCCUGAGUAGCUGGGAUUACAGGCAUGCACCACCAUGCCUAGCUAAUUUUUGUAUUUUUAAUAAAGAUGAGGUUUCGCCGUGUUGGCCAGGCUGGUCUCAAACUCCUGACCUCAGGUAAUCCAUCCGCCUCAUCCUCCCAGUGCUGGGAUUACAGGCGUGAGCCACCACGCCCGGCCCUUUGUUUCAUUUUCGAAUUUGAAUUAUGAUUGUAGGGCUCUGAUUCCCCAAACCUUCACAACUUAAAACCAAGUGCCCAUCUCACGUACCCCUCCUCCCCCAGCAGCCGGGGCCUCCCUCCCUCCUGGCCACACUCUGUGGCACGACCCUCUGAGCGUGGUCUUCCCUGUUAGUGGGGCAAGCCCUGGAGGCAGGGUCUGUGUCUUGCUCUCCAGGAAUGGCCUGAAUCUCCUCAAGUCCUAGCCCAAAACGUGAUUCACAAUCUUGGCUUAAGGUAAUCCUAAUGCUUCUAGAAUGUUCUUCAAAUGCCUGGCACUUUCCCACCUAAAUUAUCCCAUUCCAUCCUUUCAGCCAGCUUAUCAGGUGAGCACUACUAUUCCUCCUAUUUUAUAGAUGAGGACGCUGAAGCGCAGAGAGGAUAAGAAACUUGCUCAGUGACACACAGCUGGUGAGGGGGAUCUGGGUUUGAAUUCACACCUUCGGGCUCUAGUGUCAGUGUUCUGAACGUACACCCAGCAGUGCCUCUGACAUGAUGAACGGAUGAGACGUUCAGUGAGGAGGGAGAGCAGGCACCAAAAGCCUGUAUCGGCUAUAACCAAGUAAGAGCAGCCUUGCUAAGUAGCAGUCGGUCUAGAAAUCAGUUCUAUUCGAAGACUCCUAAUUGGGCUUUUCUGGGUGAUGAUAACCUUCUUGGUAAAACUGAACCCCAAGUUCUUUGGCCUGGUUGCCAUUCCCUGGCUAGCACCACGUAUUUACGCCUUUGUGCCUUUUCACAUGCCUCGGCUUCUCCUUGGAAAUCCUGUUCAUAUCACCCUUUUCUUCUGCAACUGAAACUUGCUAUUUGUCAUUCUGGGCUUAGCUCUGAUUUCACCAGUUCUGUGGCUCCAUUCUUAGCCAUCGCAUCCCUUCUCCUCUCCUUGGUCUCUCAGUCACGUCUCCUACCUCAGUUGAAAUUCUUCCCACUAGUCUUGAGCGUAAAUUAGUUCAACCAUUGUGAAAGACAGUGGGGCAAUUCCUCAAGGAUCUAGAACCAGAAAUACCAUUUGACCCAGCCAUCCCAUUACUGGGUAUAUACCCAAAGGAUUUCCGAUAAAUCAUUCUACUAUAAAGACACAUGCACACCUAUGUUUAUUGCAGCACUAUUUACAAUAGCAAAGACUUGGAACCAACCCAAGUGCCCAUCAGUGAUAGACUGGAUAAAGUCUACCCCUCUUCCAGAAAGUUUGUGAAUAACCCACCCCUUAUUUAGCAUAUAAUUAAGAGUGGGUAUAAAUAGAGCCAGCCAGCAACCCACAAGUGCUACUCUGGGCCCCUCUGCCUGUGGGAUAGCCCUGCUCUGCCAAUGAAGCAGCCAUCUUGCUGUUCACUACGCUAUAUAAACUUGCUUUCUUUCACUGUUGGCUUGCUCUUGAAUUCUUCCCUGAAUGAAGCCAAGAACCAACUCAGGCUGAGCCCCCGUUUUUGGGUUUGCCUGCAUCACCUGCAGUGGAGAUGGUUGGUUGUUUACCAAAAUCAUUUCUCCCUUCUCUCUGGACAUACUGCUGGACUACAUUUCCCAUCCAACAUGACAGGUGGGCACGGCCUGACGACUGGAUUGUCCAACAAAACACAGAAAGUGUAGACAAGAGAACAGCAGAAAGUGACGCCUGCAGCCACAGAGAUGUGCUCCCAGUCUCCCUCUUUUCUGACUGCUGGGGGUGCACACCACAGCGAGGCCCAAGGGCUGUGAUGGAGGCCUAGGAUGGAAGGUGGCUGGUCCCUGAAUUACUUCUAGGAGAGGCACCAUCUGCUGAGCAGGAACCCCUGCCUGGGACAGUUGCAAGAACAAGAAAUCAGCUCCUUUUGUGCCAGAACCAGUAUGCAUGUUGAGGUCCAAUCCUACAGUUAGUGAUGUGGUAACAGAAAUGAGCUUUGUGCUUCCAUGCCCUGGGCAACUGCAGGCAGCUGAGGCCCCCAUCUGCAGGUGGUCUCUGCAGGCAGAGGGUUUCUGGUGAAGGGCCCUAUGGGGUUUCUGAUGAGGGCCCCACAGAAACCAGAAUCUCUUCCCUGCUGCUUAUUUCAAAUUCUGCUCGGUUGUCCCUUCCAGGCCAGGCGGGUAAUCUUGCUUGUGGCCACACUCCUCUUCCUGGGACCUGAGCCUGCCCUCCUGCUCCUGAGUAGUUCAUUGUGAUGCUGUCUGCUGUGGCUGUGGAGUGCUACGCGCUGGCCAGCCUGAGGGCGACCUGUACCGCCUUGGCCAAACCCUUUACCCCACUGAGAGAUACCUCCCUCAUCUGCAGCGAGAGUCCCUACCUUGUAGGGCAGUGUGAAGGAUGUCCUGAGAUGGUCAGGACUUAGCACCCUGUAAGCACAAGAGCUGUUCUUGGUGGCGUUAUGAUCACACCCACAGAUAGGGCCUCAGGCAGGCCUCAGUGUCCUCCUGGCUGGCCACGUGCUACGGAUGUCCCCAUGCACUUGAUGUGUCAGCAGCAGAAGGACCUUCAGGAGGAGGCAACGAUGGGAUGAGACGAGGCUCAAAGGAGGAUGUUGCCGCGCAGAGACGUUUCGGGAAUAUGAGGCAGGUCACCACCUAUGAUUCUUGUGGUAGUGGAGGAAUGGUGGCGGCUGUCAUUGUGACACCCACUUUAGAGACAGGAAACUGAGCUUCAGAGAGGGGGAGUCCAGGCCCCACAGCACACAGCCAGGAAAGGGCCGGGCAGAAGGGGCUUUGGGUUUUAACCUAACUCACCCCGACUGCCUGCUUCUUCACCCAGCCAUCAUGGAACGUCUCUGUGCCUCUUCCCUGCUCUCGUGGAGGCCUGGGUCAGGCAGCUGCCCAGAGGCAGACGUGCACUGUGACCCUAGAAGACUGUUCCAGACAGGCCAGCCCAGGCAGAGACAAAACAGGGACCUGCUCCUCAUUGGUGUCACGACCAAAUGCAGGGGAUUUGCUAAGGGAGGCGCAGCCAUGAAUUGGGAGCCAGCUUCGUGCUCUGCCACUCCUUCUUGCUAAUCCCUCGAAAAUCCAAUCAGAGCUGUUUCCCUCCAUGAAACCAACUGGACACAGCACAUACUGGCCGGACCUCUGCCAGCAUGGAGUGGAUCUUUUUUCUGUUUAAAGAACCAGGUUUCAAAUGUUCUUAAUAAAACGUUUAUAUAUAUCAUGCAGGGUGCAAAUAAAUAUUUUAAUAUAAUUGGAAGAAUGUAGAGAAUUGUAAAAAGUUAUGGAAGUUUUACUUCUGAUUGGCCAAGACUCAAUAAACUCUGGUUUGAUGUACUCUAAUUUAUAGGCGUGCAAAGCCAACUCUUUGGCAUCAGAGAGGCCGUUAACGUUGUAAUGAUGUUUAAACGCUGACAAAUGAGCUGCUUGGGCGGCACCUUCAGCCCUGAGAAUGGAACUGUUGGAGCUGGAGGACUUGCCUGUCCCCAGCUUUCUCCCUUCCUCCCGUGCUGGUGGAGCAGGUUAAGGGCAGGAGGACUGUUCAUUGGGGCGACUGCUCCCCAUCGGUUGAGGGGAGGGCACAAAGGGGACCCAUGGCUUCUUUUUCACUGUUGUCCCUAAUUAUGGUCUUUCUCAUUAAAAUAACAAGG